rnacentral:lncRNA from 1 species
AUGGCUGUUUUCACUACUUGGAGGAGGAGAGGAGAGCAGACCCUUCUGGUCUCCUGCUCCAUCUUCUCUACCUUUGUUGUUUCUGCUCAGCACAGGAACUCCAUGGAAAAGGGCAUCAGGAUAAGGUUAGUAUCAGGAAGCUUCACAUGGUCCUUGAGGUGCUGGGGCGGGGGGGGGGGCCCUCUGAUUGUACCGUGGAAAAGGGAGUCCAAUAUGCCUCCCACACCUGCUUCGUUUAUAGACUGCCCAGUGAAUCCACCCAAAGCACAGUCUCUUCUGUAGUCAGGAAACCUACAGGGCCACCAAAGGGGCAAUAACAAGGGUAGCAGCAGGGGCAGCAGCAACAGUGCUGGGCGCAAGGCAGCAACCCAAGUCUGCAGGCCGAGGACAGAUCAUCAACACAGCAAUGUCAGGAGCAGCCAGCAAGGGCCCAGGAGGGUGAGGAGCCAGCAUGGUUAUGGCAGAACCACUGACAUGCCCUCAAUGGGUAUUUAAGUGGUUGUGGCAGGUGCUUCUCACACGUCCUUGAAAGGUACUUCCAGACGUGAUGGCAAGUCCCAACUAGAUGGGGAAUUGUUCUGUAUCCAAGCAGGGCGGCAGGUAGAUGGGUGCUUACUGUUGUAAUUUCCCUAUUUUCCUAUGUCUGAGGACAUAUAAAGCGAUCUUAUAAUCACUGACAGCCAGGUGGCAGUUGUGAUGAAGUUGCAUUGCCUUAGAAAACCUUUAACCAGAGGGGCACCUGGGUGGCUCAGUCGGUUGGGUGUCUGACUUCAGCUCAGGUCAUUAUCUCACAGUUCUGUGCUGACAGCUCAGAGAGUCUGCUUUGGAUUUUGUGUGUCUCUCUCUUUGGAUUCAUUCUGUCUCUGCCCCUCCCUCACUUGUGAUCUGUCUCUCAAAAAUAAAUAAAUGUAAAAAAAAAUGUUUUUAAAGAAA